rnacentral:lncRNA from 1 species
UUGUAAUCAAACAAUUUCUUUAUUUUACAUGUAGGCCUCAUAGAUGUGUAUUGUUUAUGUGAUAUAUCGGAAAAGCGACUUUAGUUAACUUGAUAUCAAUGGAUAAUACUUGUUGCUAUUUUAUGGGUUACCUGAGGUAACCCUGUCAUAACAAAAUACUUAGUAGAUACUUUGCUAGUAUAUGCAUUUAUGCUGUAAUAAACCACUUUCUUCUUUUGUUAUGUAGGAAUUCAUUGAAAUUAUAUUGUUUAUGUGAUGUAUAUGUAAAAGUGAUCUGAAUUAACUUGAGUUAAAUAGGUUGUAUUUACUGUUAUUGUUUGCGUUACCGCAGGUUACCCUGUUAUGAAAGAAUUUUUAGUACAUACUUUGCUAGUGUAUACAUUUAUAUUUUAAUUACACAAUUUCUUAAUUUAGAAUGUAGGACUUCAUAGAUUUGUAUUGUUUAUGUGAUGUAUAUAUAAAGUUACCUCAGUUGACUUGAGUUUAAUGGUUGUAUUUGUUGUUAUAAUUGGGGUUACCUCAGGUAACCCUGUCAUGAAUGAAUACUUCAGAUCAUUAAUUGAACUUUUAUAUAUAAAAAAAAAAAAAAAAAGUUUAUAAUUUUACAAGCCAUCCCCACCCUACACGUACAUACGAAAUGAACGAUCGGUGAAUACAAAUAAUAAAAUCAUUUGGGAAGUUUGUUGACAUCUUUGGUAUUUGGUCACAUUAAAAUUUGGUAUUAAGAUCUAUCUAAAUAAGAACUAUAUUUUCGUGCGUAUUUAAUCAAUGACGCAUUACAAUGAUUACCUCAGGGCA